CCCUUGGGGGAAGAUGCCAGAAAAGCUGUAAUGAGCCCUGGACUAACCACAGUGGCCCCAGGCACAUUCUCCCCAGGCAAGCCCGGGGUCCAGUCAGCGCAUCCAUUUGGGGGGCGCCGUUUUAAAUAACCUCUCCUCCCACAGCAGAAGUCAGCGGGCAUUCCUGGUCCCUUGAAAUACGCUUCCUGCCAGCAUAUCUUUUAGCAACGAGAAGUGUGUUCUGGGAGCUGAUGAAGCAUGUUUCAAAAAGUUACCCGCAGUCAACCAGCCUGGAAGCAGAUGAUGUUCCAAGCUAUCGUCAGAAGGUCCAUAGUCGCCUAAUGCUACGUCACCUGCCUGUGUCACGCACAUCGCUUCUUCUCAUCAUGUGGGCAUUUUAUCAUCUCUCAUCAUCGCAAGAAGCGUGAGCGCAGGACAAUAAGAUAUUUUAAGAGAGAGAGAGAGAGAGACCACAUUCAUGUAACUUUUAUUAUGGUAUAUUGUUCUAUUUUAUUAUUGUAGUAGUUAAUCUCUUGCUGUGCCUAAUUUAUAGAUUAAUCUUACCAUAAGUAUGUAUGUAUAGGAAAAAAUAUAGUAUAUAUAGGGUUUGGGACUAUGUACAGUUUCAGGCAUCUUGGAAUGUAUCCUCCACAGAGAAGGGGGGGUACCGCUGAAUCCAUUAAAUGGACUUCUUGCUUCUGCAAAGGUACGGCAGGGGGCGUAGGCACAGAACUGGGAGAGGUGCAGAACUGCUCAGCCCAUUUGUACAAAGAGACCAUCAUCCUUGGUCUUGUGGGAGGAUAACACAGUAAUGGGAAGAUAUUCCAGUGUCUGCAGCAUCAGGGAGGGGUGGUUUAAAUGGGAGAUUCUUGUUUGGGCUGGAGCGGAUCCCGGGGAGUGUGGCUGCCAGCCAGAAUCGAGAAGACUGAUGGUCAGAGGAAGAGACCCAGAGACAAAGCAAGGUGGGAGGACUUCAGGAGCAUCCAUAUUCGACCUGGAGAGGUUCUGUGCUCAGCCUUCUCUUUCUAUCCCUGAUUCCACGGCUUCCAAUGAUGCUUCUCCAGGGGACGGGCCCAGGAAACAAAACUUGAAUCCCUCAGAUCAGUGCCAAAUGUGCAGCUCUGGUGCUGACCUGAUGUCGAUCUUUGACUCUUUCCCAUCUUGUUAUCCAAGUCCAGUCCAUUCCGAAGUUCUGCCUGUGCCCAUCAUGAGGACUCCACUCCCAUGGCCACAUCUGAACCUAAUCACCUAUCAAAUGCCUCAUCUCCAGAUGCCAUCACAUUGGGGCAUAGGGUUUCAACAUGUGAUUUGGGGUGAUAGAAACAUUCAAUCCAUAAUUAAGAUCUGUGGAAUUUUAAAGUAUGCGAGUGAGAAAUGAGCAUGAUGCCUUUCUUUCUCUUUCUCUAAUUGGGAUCUCAGGUAGAAAUACGAAGUGAGAAAAUUUCUUAGAGUAUCUAUAGCAGCAUUAUUCGUAAUAGUAAAAACUGGAAAUAACCCAGUGUCCGUGAGCAGUGGAGUGGAUGAGUCAAUGGUGGUAUAUUCAGCAAUGAGAAUGAACAAUCUCCAGCUGCAAGAAACAGCAUAGAGGAAUCUCUCAAGCAUAAUGUUGAGCAAAAGGAGCUAGACACAAAAGAGGACAUACAAAACAAUUUCUUCUAUAUAAAAGUCAAAACACAGGCAGAACUAUCAUGUGAGAGGAAGAGGUAGUGAUCAGAAGGAGAAUAUGGGAGCAUGUGGGGAACUGGUAUGCACUGUCUCUUGUGAGCAGUAGUUCCAUGGGUGUGUUCUGAUUGUGAUAACUCGCUGAGCUGUACAUUUAUGAUUUGUGCAUGUUCCAUGAAUGUUUAUGAAAAAUAAUUCAUAUUUAGACCUUCCAUCAGCCUAUCUCUAAAGGCAUGGCCUGAUCUUACCUAAAAUCAGGAACUGGCAGUGUUCCUCUGAGCCAGCAGAGAAAAUUGUGACAUAUGGAACUUGUUAAACCAAAGUAAUGUUUGUUGGUGAUUGUGGCAGAUCCUACAGCCUUAUAGUGAGUCUGUCUGUCAACAAAUGUUUAUUAAAAACUAUCCCACACCCCAUUCUCAUGAACUGCAGGGCCGGGGUUCGGACAGCAAUCUAGCCAAGAGCUUUCAGCUGCUUAAGCCAGGCUAGAAAUUCUAACCCCCUCCCUGAUAGCACUUAAGGGACUUUUUUCAUGUUGGCCUUCUACCUUGAAAUGCACUCUUAGGGUAAUGGAGACAGUCUAGAAGAGGAACAACUGAAGCAAAAUAGGUUGGAGGCUAGAGAAACAAUAGUACAAGAUUCCAGACAGUAAAGACAAGCUAUUUAUAAAGAGUUUCAGAUUGGUAGCAGAUUACUACCAAUUACUAUAAAUUACUAUGGUAAUUUAAUGCCUAUGGACUAUAAAGAAAAAAACCUUGCAAUACAAGAAUCCUUUUCCCAGCUAUUAUUCUCUGGUCACUGUGUAAGAACUAUAUUUGAGAACUGGCAGGAAAUUGGUGUAUAUAUCACCCACACACCUAGGGCUGUCAUAUCGUCUAAGUCCAAUGGGCAAACUCGUAUAUAUUGCAUCCAACAAGAACCACCUGAGAAUUCACUAACCAGAUAAAAACAGAAUCAAAGCAAAGACCUCAAUUUUGGAAAUGUAAAGGCAAAAAUAAACAAAAUAUACCAAGGUGUGUCUUUUCUCACUUGGCCUCAAUAGAAUCCUUAAGUCACAAAGAAAAAGUAGAACUUUUGGCCUCAAUAGAAUCCUUAAAUCACAAAGAAAAAGUAGAACUUUUGGCCUCAAUAGAAUCCUUAAAUCACAAAGAAAAAGUAGAACUUUCACAAGCCAUUUUAUCUAUCACAAGUCAAUAAAAUUAGAAAAAAAAGUAUAAAUGAUCUAGAAAGCAAUGUAAAGGAUUAUACUUUCUGCAAAUAUCUCUGCGCAUAGCAAAAACUUUUUAUGCCUUUAAAAAAAUAAAUCUAAAAAUUGAGGUUGUAUUUAUCUAUCAAAAGGAGGAAGAAAGUAUAGCAAAAUCAUCCAAAAUAUAAAGUAGGGAUUAAAUAGAAAACAACAACAACAAAAAUUUGAAAGGAUAAAUAAUUCCCAAAUCUGGUCUUUGAAGAGACUAAUAAAUGACUAAUUUUCUUGAACCUAAUUUAGGAGGAAAAAGGAGGGAAGGAAAGAAGGGAGGAAGGAAGGGAGGAAGGAAGGAGGGAUAGAAGGAAGGAAGGAAGGAAAUCUCUAGGGGAAAUGGCUGAUUUUCAAUGAAAUACAUAAUAACAAAAUUAGGAAGAAAUGGGAAACUUACAUACACAAUUACCACAGUAGAGACAGGAAAGGUGAAUAAAAAUUUAUCACUAAAACAGCUACUGAAAACAGAUGGCUUUAGAGUUGGGUUCUAUCCAACCUUUUAAAAAACAGAUAAUUCCAGUAAUAGUUACAUUGUUCCAUAUAUAGAAAAAGAUAAAAGGUUUUCUAAUUUAUUUUAUACAGUUAACACAAAAAUCUUUUAGAGUACAGAAAGAAAAACUAUAGCCCAGUCUCAUUAUGAAUAUAAAAACAGAAAUUAUGAUCCAAUAGUAGCAAAUAAAAUACAGCAAUGUAUCAAAGGAAAUACACUAUGACUAAGUAAGUUUUAGUCUAGAAAUGUGGGGGUGAUCCAAAUAUCAAGAAAUGUAUGCAUGAAGUUGAUUGCCACGACAGAUUAAAAGAGAAGAUCUGUGUGGUCGUAUCAAUAGACUUUGAAAAGGUUAAUAAAGUUAAUGAAGUUCAGCCACCAUUUUUCAAAAGAAUUCUAAACAAGAUAAGGAUAAGGAUCAACUUAAAUAUGUUACAGGCUGUUUAUAGUCUCAUUCACUAUCAUCCUAAAUAGCAAUUCUGAAACCAUUUCAAUUACCAUCAGAAACCAGACAAGCAUGACAGCUCUGCUAUUUUCCUUGAACAGUGCCGUGGAGGUUUUAGCAAAUGCAAUCAGGCAAGAAAAUGAAAUAAUUGGAAUACAUAUUAAGAGAGGAAAAAUAAAAUUGUCUCUUGCUGAUGACAUAAUUUUUUUAUCUAGGUAAGGAAUUUAACAAAGUAGCUAUAUGUAAGAUGAGUCUACAAAAAUUAAUAUGCUGCUUUUCAUACAGAGAAAGAAAUAGUAAAAAAUACUUUGUUCAUAAUAGUGACAAAAGCUAUCUGUAAAAUUCACGCAAAUAAAUAUAAUGAUGAAAGCGUUGUAUCUCUAUAAAGAAAACCUUAAAAUGUAUUUGAAAGAUAUAAAAUG